UACGUAGGUGGCAAGCGUUGUCCGGAAUUACUGGGCGUAAAGGGCGUGUAGGCGGCCUUUUAAGUCAGACGUGGAAUCCCUGGGCUUAACCCAGGAACUGCGUUUGAAACUGAGAGGCUUGAGGAUCGGAGAGGGCAGUGGAAUUCCCAGUGUAGCGGUGAAAUGCGUAGAUAUUGAGAGGAACACCAGUGGCGAAGGCGACUGUCUGGACGACACCUGACGCUGAGGCGCGAAAGCUAGGGGAGCAAACGGG
rnacentral:rRNA from 1 species